CUCAGGCCUCUCCAUCCGAGAGACGGCAGAAGGGCAAACGUCUCCUGCUGGCACAAGGAAGUCAUAACUCAUGCGAGUGGAGUCAUGCGGGAUUAAGAAGUGACAGGAGAGCUUGCUGUCAGUCUCUGCCCUCCACUGUGUGAGGAUACAACAGGAAGACAGCCAUCUGGUGAAGAGAGGGCCCUCGCCAGAUACCGGACCUGCUGACACCUUGAUCUUGGAUUUCUCAUCUUCCAGGACGGUAAGAAAUAAAUGCUUGGUGUUUCAGCCACCUUGUCUAUUCUGUUGUAGCAGCCUGAACUGGCUAAGGUAGCAGGGUCUGAUGAUCAAAUGGAACAGCUGUAAAAGUGAGGCAGGAAGGGGGUCUACAGAUACUAAGUUUUAUGAGGAAAACUUGUGCUUGAUUUGACAAAAUGACACAAAAUUUUGUUCUAAGAAAAAUUUUCAGAAUUCGAAACUUAGAGCCCUAAGACUUUUCCCAAUGAUAGACUUGGCUUUCCUUGAGGUCUUGGCCCCAGUGGGACUGCUGGAGUCUAUUAUAAAACUCAUCUGGAAGGGCCUCUGCCAUUGCUGAGGCUUGAGUAAAUGGUUUUAAGGUCACAGUGUAAAC
rnacentral:sRNA from 1 species